UGUUCCUCUGCCUGGCUGGAGAACAUUUUCUCCUGCAGAUGAAUUGUCCUCUUUUUAAGGUCCAGAAACUGCCUCGACUGCAAGCCAGCUCCUGGUAAAGCGCUCAGAUCAUGGGAUGGAGCAAGCAGUUGGACCCUCUCUGUGGGCACAUAACUAGAAGGGAUAAUGUAAAGUGUGAGCAAAAAGUAACAAGACUUUGUCCAAAAACAACACAAAGAAGAAAUGUCAAAGCAUGAGAAAAGGAAAACGUCUAGCAGUGAUUUGGGUGGAUUAAUCCAAGCGGAGACUGCAUCCUGUUUGCAAUAGCCAUCCUAAUUCCCAGCCUUGUAAUUGACAACCGUUGAGAAGAACUCUGGCUGAAGCUGUUACAGUAAAAUGUUUUUGAAUUGUACCAAUAAAAUUCUGCUUUAA